UGGGGAAUCUUCCGCAAUGGACGAAAGUCUGACGGAGCAACGCCGCGUGUAUGAUGAAGGUCUUCGGAUUGUAAAGUACUGUCAUUGGGGAAGAACGGUUUUCUUGAAAAGAUUGAGAAGACAUGACGGUACCCAAGGAGGAAGCCCCGGCUAACUACGUGCCAGCAGCCGCGGUAAUACGUAGGGGGCAAGCGUUGUCCGGAAUUAUUGGGCGUAAAGGGCGCGUAGGCGGGCCUUUAAGUCCGGUGUGAAAGAUCAGGGCUCAACCCUGAGAGUGCAUCGGAAACUGGAGGCCUUGAGGACAGGAGAGGAAAGUGGAAUUCCACGUGUAGCGGUGAAAUGCGUAGAUAUGUGGAGGAACACCAGUGGCGAAGGCGACUUUCUGGACUGUAACUGACGCUGAGGCGCGAAAGCGUGGGGAGCAAACAGGAUUAGAUACCCUGGUAGUCCACGCCGUAAACGAUGAGUGCUAGGUGUAGAGGGUAUCGACCCCUUCUGUGCCGCAGUUAACACAAUAAGCACUCCCGCCUGGGGAGUACGGCCGCAAGGUUGAAACUCAAAAGGAAUUGACGGGGGUCAUAGCUG
rnacentral:rRNA from 1 species